ACUGCUCAGUAACACGUGGAUAACCUGCCCUAAGGUGGAGCAUAACCCCGGGAAACUGGGGAUAAUACUCCAUAGGUUAUAGAUGCUGGAAUGCUCUAUAACUCAAAGUUCCGGCGCCUUAGGAUGGAUCUGCGGUCGAUUAGGUUGUUGUUGGGGUAACGGCCCAACAAGCCUGUAAUCGAUACGGGUUGUGGGAGCAAGAGCCCGGAGAUGGAAUCUGAGACACGAUUCCAGGCCCUACGGGGCGCAGCAGGCGCGAAAACUUUACAAUGCAGGAAACUGUGAUAAGGGAACCCCGAGUGCCCGUAUACGCGGGCUGUCCGGGUGUAUAAAAAGCAUCUGAAGAAAGGGCCGGGCAAGACCGGUGCCGGCCGCCGCGGUAAUACCGGCGGCUCGAGUGGUGACCACUUUUAUUGGGCUUAAAGCGUUCGUAGCUGGACUCUUAAGUCUCUUGGGAAAUCUCACGGCUCAACCGUGAGGCGUUUAAGAGAUACUGGGAGUCUAGGAACCGGGAGAGGUAAGAGGUACUUCGGGGGUAGAAGUGAAAUUCUGUAAUCCUCGAGGGACCACCGAUGGCGAAGGCAUCUUACCAGAACGGCUUCGACAGUGAGGAACGAAAGCUGGGGGAGCGAACGGGAUUAGAUACCCCGGUAGUCCCAGCCGUAAACGAUGCGCGUUAGGUGUACUGGUGACCACGAGUCACCUGAGUGCCGAAGGGAAACCGUGAAACGUGCCGCCUGGGAAGUACGGUCGCAAGGCUGAAACUUAAAGGAAUUGGCGGGGGAGCAC
rnacentral:rRNA from 1 species